CUCUUGCUUAUCCUUGGAUGGUGACCACUGACACACACUUUAGAAAAAGGACAGCCUCAGGCUGAGUGAGGCCCAAGGUGUUGAUUUUGCCCUGCUUCAUCCUGCACUCGACAUUGGCAGUGGUGAGGGGAGACUCUGACCCCAUGUGGUA